rnacentral:rRNA from 1 species
AUUGAACGCUGGCGGCAGGCCUAACACAUGCAAGUCGAGCGAGCGGCGGACGGGUGAGAAAUGUGUGGGGACUGCACGAUAGAGGGGGAUAACUACUGGAAACGGUGGCUAAUACACCAUACUGUCGGAUAACCCACAAGGGAUUAGAGAGUAGGUGAGGUAAUGGCUUACCUAGGCGACGAUCCCUAGCUGGUCUGAGAGGAUGAUCAGCCACACUGGGACUGAGACACGGCCCAGACUCCUACGGAGGCAGCAGUGGGGAAUAUUGCACAUGGGGCGCAAGCCUGAUGCAGCCAUGCCGCGUGUAUGAAGAAGGCCUUAGGGUUGUAAAGUACUUUCAGUCGGGAGGCGUUACCGACAGAAGAAGCACCGGCUAACUCCGUGCCAGCAGCCGCGGUAAUAC